GACGAACGCUGGCGGCGUGCUUAACACAUGCAAGUCGAACGGAAAGGCCCUGCUUUUGUGGGGUGCUCGAGUGGCGAACGGGUGAGUAACACGUGAGUAACCUGCCCUUGACUUUGGGAUAACUUCAGGAAACUGGGGCUCAUACCGGAUAGGAGCUCCUGCUGCAUGGUGGGGGUUGGAAAGUUUCGGCGGUUGGGGAUGGACUCGCGGCUUAUCAGCUUUUUGGUGGGGUAGUGGCUUACCAAGGCUUUGGCGGGUAGCCGGCCUGAGAGGGUGACCGGGCACAGUGGGACUAAGAUACGGCGCAGACGCGUACGGGAGGCAGCAGUGGGGAAUAUUGCACAAUGGGCGGAAGCAUGAUGCAGCAACGCCGCGUGCGGGAUGACGGCCUGCGGGUUGUAAACCGCUUUGGCCUGUGACGAAGAGUGAUUGACGGUAAUGGAUAAAGAAGCACCGGCUAACUACGUG
rnacentral:rRNA from 1 species